UCAGUAACACGUAGUCAACCUAACUCGUGGGCGUGGAUAACCUCGGGAAACUGAGAAUAAACCACGAUAGAUCAUAGUGCCUGGAAUGGCUUAUGGUCCAAACAGUUUACUCGGGCCAUGGGAUGGGACUGCGGCCUAUCAGCUUGUUGGUGAGGUAAUGGCCCACCAAGGCGAUUACAGGUACGGGCUCUGAAGGAGAAGCCCGGAGAUGGGUACUGAACACGGACCCAGGCCCUAUGGGGCGCAGCAGGCGAGAAACCUUAGCAAUGUGCGAAAGCACGACUGGGUCAGUCCGAGUGAUUCCUGAUAAAGGAGCCUUUUGCUUGUCCUAAAAGCACAGGUGAGUAAGGGGUGGGCAAGUCUGGUGCCA
rnacentral:rRNA from 1 species